CAGUCGCCGCGGUAAUACGUAGGUGGCAAGCGUUGUCCGGAAUUAUUGGGCGUAAAGGGCUCGCAGGCGGUUUCUUAAGUCUGAUGUGAAAGCCCCCGGCUCAACCGGGGAGGGUCGUUGGAAACUGGGAAACUUGAGUGCAGAAGAGGAGAGUGGAAUUCCACGUGUAGCGGUGAAAUGCGUAGAGAUGUGGAGGAACACCAGUGGCGAAGGCGACUCUCUGGUCUGUAACUGACGCUGAGGAGCGAAAGCGUGGGGAGCGAACAGGAUUAGAUACCCCGGUAGUCCCUGUCUCUUAUAC
rnacentral:rRNA from 1 species